CGUUUCGUUGCAGCGGCGGAGUCCAGUUCAAGCACCGCCGCUAUGGCUGUCCGGAGUGGCGGCCGGCCGAACCAGAUCUGCAGCAGAGGAGGUCGUGGUGACCGACCGAAUCUUCAGACCGGUCGAGAUGCCAAACGCGGCUUCACCGCUCGUUUUGGUUCAGGUCGAGGAAGGGGAAGGCCGCAUUGUACCUAUUGUGGUGAUCC
rnacentral:lncRNA from 1 species